GUCUACAGCCGCACUACCCUGAAUGCACAUGAACUCACCUUAGAAGCUAAGGAGGGUAAGGCCUGGUUAGUAUGUGGAUAAUAGAAUUCAGAAGGACGCGAAAGAAAAAGCAAUUAUAGAAG
rnacentral:rRNA from 1 species